rnacentral:misc_RNA from 1 species
GAUGAAGAACGUAGCGAAAUGCGAUAAGUCAUGUGAAUUGCAGAAUUCAGUGAAUCAUCGAAUCUUUGAACGCACAUUGCGCCCCCUGGUAUUCCGGGGGGCAUGCCUGUUCGAGCGUCAUUUCACCACUCAAGCCUCGCUUGGUAUUGGGCAACGCGGUCCGCCGCGUGCCUCAAAUCGACCGGCUGGGUCUUCUGUCCCCUAAGCGUUGUGGAAACUAUUCGCUAAAGGGUGUUCGGGAGGCUACGCCGUAAAACAACCCCAUUUCUAAGGUUGACCUCGGAUCAGGUAGGGAUACCCGCUGAACUUAAGCAUAUCAAUAAGCGCAGGA